rnacentral:tRNA from 1 species
GCGCUGCCUGGUGCGGGAUGCGCGGCUCCGGUCCCUGGCCCGGACCGCCGGGACCGCCCGGACCGCCCGUGCCCGCGUUCGGGGCCGCGGGCUCCGCG